rnacentral:rRNA from 2 species
UUUCAGCGAUGGAUAUCUUGGCUC